UAAGGAAUAUUGGUCAAUGGACGCAAGUCUGAACCAGCCAUGCCGCGUGGAGGAUGAAGGCCCUCUGGGUUGUAAACUUCUUUUAUCUGGGACGAAAAAGGGUCUUUCUAGAUCAACUGACGGUACCAUGUGAAUAAGCACCGGCUAACUCCGUGCCAGCAGCCGCGGUAAUACGGAGGGUGCAAGCGUUAUCCGGAUUCACUGGGUUUAAAGGGUGCGUAGGUGGGUUGGUAAGUCAGUGGUGAAAUCUCCGAGCUUAACUUGGAAACUGCCAUUGAUACUAUUAGUCUUGAAUAUUGUGGAGGUUAGCGGAAUAUGUCAUGUAGCGGUGAAAUGCUUAGAUAUGACAUAGAACACCAAUUGCGAAGGCAGCUGGCUACACAUAUAUUGACACUGAGGCACGAAAGCGUGGGGAUCAAACA
rnacentral:rRNA from 1 species